AAUUUGGAUUUUCUUACUCUUAACGUAGAAUAAUUAUUUGGCUAGAAAUUAUCGAGAGACUAAAGGAGUUAUUUGAAUCACAGUAGACAGUAGAAGUAUGACAGUAAGGUUUGAAAUUGGUUAGAAAUAAUAAUAUUGAGGGAUAUGAUAUCUAAGCCCACGACCAUGGUUGAGCUAGGAUGUGUACGUGCUAAUUAUUUGACAAUUCAAUAUGUAAAUUUUGCGAAUAAAAUUUUAUUAAGU
rnacentral:lncRNA from 1 species